AAAUAGCGUACUUUGUAUCCUAGAACAUAAUGAGGAUGCUGUAAAGGUAGCCGCUGAACCCGUUCCUUUCUUAUUAAGUGUGAAAUUUUAUCCCAUGGAAAAGUAUACAAUUCCAAUCUGACAGAGCAUAUCAUUGACCUUAAGUUACAGACUGCCUACCGAUACACCGUCUGCACGAGACAUGGCUCCAGAAGCUCCAUUCGGAAAGCAAAGGAAAUCCGGACUAGGUAAUGCUACGGGCGGUAUCUUUUGUGAGCGGGCAAGACCUUGGCAGGCUUUUCGCCGGUAAUUUUUGCCUACGGAUGGAAUAUUAUAAUCUCCCUACAAAUAAAGGUCUUCCACUUUGAGAACAACAAUGAAA